UGUGGGCGUUGGCCUGAAACUCCUGAACGAUGAACGGUUCCACCGGCUUAAUGGCGUGUCCUACUAGAGUGCCCAUAGAUCUGCUUCACUUUUAUCUCCUCUCUAGCGGCCAGCCCUGACUUCGCUUGGUUAAAAACCAUCAUGAAACACCUAGUUUUCCUCAAAAAUCAAAUUAUAAAUAUAUUGGUGAAAAUCGUACGAAAAUAUGUCCCGUAGUUUUUGAGUUUAUCGCGGUUAUACAUAUAGAAUGAGAGAUGCGACAGGAGGACUUUUUAUAAUAUGUUUCCCAAUCCAAGAGCGACAUUUUGCAAAAUGGCCGGCUUGCAUCAGCUGGUGUUGCAUUCUAAGGUCAGCACAGCCGACUCAACUGCAUAUGCACCAAGGAAAACUGGACGACUAUCAGAAUGAAUUUAGACGGUUUUAUGUGAAUUAAAAUAUGUUA